rnacentral:piRNA from 1 species
UUGUGUCAGGGAUCUGAGAUCUUACA